CUUUUCGGUUAUCCGAUAUCUA
rnacentral:snRNA from 1 species